rnacentral:lncRNA from 7 species
AAGAGCGGCUCAUCCAACCUGUGCUGCUACAUGAGUGUGAACCCCAUGAUGUACAGACCAGGGCUGGUGUUUGUGUGGGGGUCAUGGAGCUGCAAAGCAUUAUUCUCAGGAGCAUCCAAGUCCGGACAAUGAACUGGGAUGCUGAGGAGAAGAGGUGCAGUGCAUGAGAAGAUUUCAACAUGAGUUAAAAAUAGGAAGACAUGAGCGCUUUUUUAAUCAUGCAGUCCAAGGGAACAUGAUUUUUAAACCUUAAUCGUCCUUUACUGAGAAUGAUAGACUGGAUUAUGAAGAAGCAAUCUCUGUACUCAGCAUUGCAAAUUGUGGUGGUGUACAGUUUGAAAGGAUGUAGCUAAUAUAGUGUUAAUAAGAGAUCUGACUGUUUCCUCUCCUUCUGCUUUUUUUUCUUUUGGCACUUGGAGUUGGAUAUGUGCUAAUGUUAUGGAUGUAUUUUGCAAAACUCAAAAGCUGAAAAUACCUCCACUUUUUUUCUUUAAUUUUUCUUCUGGGAAAAAAACAGAACAUGAGAAAUUGAAAGAGGACUCAGAUCAUUUUCAGGAAAUGAAAUAUAUUCUAAGUACUGAAGUUUGGAGUCUCAUUUUGGGAAAAAUUUCUUCAGGUGAUGUCAGUUUUUCCAGUUGCAGACUGAAACACUAAAUGCAUGCUCAUUCUGUGCUGUGUUCUGGUUUACAGGUUAACUUAAUUUCUGUGGUAUAUCUCCUUUUUUGACUCAAUUACUGGAAUAAAUUGAGG